UACGGAGGGUGCAAGCGUUGCUCGGAAUUAUUGGGCGUAAAGCGCACGUAGGCGGUUCGUUAAGUCGGAUGUGAAAGCCCUCGGCUCAACUGAGGAAGUGCACCCGAAACUGGCGAGCUUGAGUACGAAAGAGGAUCGCGGAAUUCCCGGUGUAGAGGUGAAAUUCGUAGAUAUCGGGAGGAACACCGGCGGCGAAGGCGGCGAUCUGGGUCGAUACUGACGCUGAGGUGCGAAAGCGUGGGGAGCAAACAGG
rnacentral:rRNA from 1 species